rnacentral:rRNA from 1 species
GACAGAGGUGCCGAGCGUUAGGCGGAAUCACUGGGCUUAAAGCGUGUGUAGGCGGACCGUUAAGUGUCUUGUGAAAUCCCCCGGCUCAACCGGGGAAUUGCUGGGCAUACUGGCGGUCUUGAGCAGUCUAGGGGCAGAUGGAACAAGUGGUGGAGCGGUGAAAUGCGUAGAUAUCACUUGGAACGCCAAAGGUGAAAACAGUCUGCUGGGGAUCUGCUGACGCUGAGACACGAAAGCCAGGGGAGCGAACGGG